UGCCAGGAACAGUGAUCAGAAGGAGGCAGUGGACAUUGUUUGAAGGUCCUGUAGGGUUUCCCAGCUCAUGAUAUUGGAGAUGUCCUCCAGAAAGACCUGGAAGGAGAUGUUAUGUUUUCAGAAGAGUGGCUAAUGGCAAGAGUGUGCUAAUUUUUGCUGGGAGUAGAAGGGAGAAUGCAUGUGAGAGAGCAAAAUACUGUGUGGAAGCUCUGUUUUUAGCUCUAAACAUCUCUAGCACCAUAACUAGAAUGCAUGUCUAAGUACUGGUGAUGUUUCCUGCUCCUUCCCUUAUAUAGAGGGAGGCAGAUAUUUCUUUCUCUAAUAAGGUCUGAUAGGGAAUCUGUAGUAUCUACAGGGUUAUUUUUAUUUUCUUAGAAAUCAGUCCUUAACCGUGCAUCUCAGGAGAGAUGGAAAGAGAUGGACCUCAACAGAGCCAAGAUUGAGCACAAAAGGGGGCAACAGGAAGAGAGGCAGCAGAAGAGGCAACAGCAGCAAGAGGAAGAAGCUCUCCGACGCCAGCUACGCCGGAACAACCAGAGGCAGCGAUUGCAUCAGAGAAUGUUGCAAGGGUUGGAGAAACAGCUGGAGCACUGAAGAAAGAGCUUUGCAGCGCACCGCGUUGCUUCAAGUAGCAUGGUCAGAGAGGAGCAGGAAGGAAUCCUUCUUGUCAGAGGAGGAGAACAGAAAGGCAAGUGAGAGGCUGCAGUCCUUACAGACACAGCGAUUGCAGAGAGAGAAAUUGCUUGCAGAACGCAAUGAGAGGAGCUUUGAACAGGAGAAAGAAAGGCUGGAUUUUCUGAAGAGCAGAAUGCAGUCACAGCAGCAAAUGCAGAAGCAAGACUCUCAGGAGCAAGACAGGCAACAAAAGCAGCACCAGGCUGCCAAAAGGAAAGUGUUCCAGAACAGACACCAUUCACAGGAGAAGGCGCAAAAAGAAGACCAAAAGCACUGUGACCUUCAGCAGUACCUCAGGGAACAGAAUCUUUUGAUGCUCCGGGCAUCACUGCUUGCAUAAGGAAACAGCAGAGUGG
rnacentral:lncRNA from 1 species